rnacentral:lncRNA from 1 species
CACGUGCAGGCCCGAGAAGGCAAAAGAGGCCCAGCCACUCUCACCGGAGAUUUUAUCCGCCUCCCCGGCACACACACACUCUCACUCACGCACUCGCUCGCCGGCCUUCCAGCUGUCUGUGUCCGGGGCGGGGACCGGCUUGGCACCGACCGCUGCGGGCGGGGCAGAGCGCGCCGCCCGCUGUCAGCGCUCGCCGGCUCCUCGCGCCCCUGCCCGCUGCGCUCUGCCCAGAGCAGAAGCCCGGCCGGCCGGCCCACGGGCGGGAGGACGGGCCUCCGCUCGGGCGGAGGCGGCGCGGUGGCUGAUCAGAGAGCGGAGGGCCUCGCCGGGGCCGGGAGCUGGGCGCGGUCCUGCUCAGCCCAGCUCGCCGCGCGCCGGCCCUCGGCGCCCUGGUUCUGCGGAUCAGGAGUUGAAACCAGCACCUUCCCUUUCUCUGAGUCCUGCCUCCUUCUGCAGAAGGGAGCUCAAAAGAACUUUGUUGUUUUGCCUUUUACUCUGGGGUGAAAGCGGCAGACGAUGAGGAGAAAAUAAUGAAUGUCAAAGGAAAAGUAAUUCUGUCAAUGCUGGUUGUCUCAACUGUGAUCAUUGUGUUUUGGGAAUUUAUCAACAGCACAGAAGGCUCUUUCUUGUGGAUAUAUCACUCAAAAAACCCAGAAGUUGAUGACAGCAGUGCUCAGAAGGGCUGGUGGUUUCUGAGCUGGUUUAACAAUGGGAUCCACAAUUAUCAACAAGGGGAAGAAGACAUAGACAAAGAAAAAGGAAGAGAGGAGACCAAAGGAAGGAAAAUGACACAACAGAGCUUCGGCUAUGGGACUGGUUUAAUCCAAACUUGAAGGAAUCCAAAUAACUAAACUGGACUCUGGUUUUCUGACUCAGUCCUUCUAGAAGACCUGGACUGAGAGAUCAUGCAGUUAAGGAGUGUGUAACAGGCGGACCACCUGUUGGGACUGCGAGAUUCUCAAGGGGAAGGACUGGGUCUCAUUUCUCCCAUCUCAGCGCUUAGCAGGAUGACCUGGUAUACAGCAGGGAACUGGGAAAUGUGGGUCAGGGGAUCAGACACCCCAGUUGGGUCUUUUAUAUAAAUUAAAUGGCAAAAGGCUCCAUACCCUUCUCCUUCUUUCCUACCCUCCACUUUAUCUGCAAAAUGGGAAUGAUGAUAACACCCACUUCAUAGAAUGGUCAUGAAGAUCAAAUGAGAGAAUAAAAGUCAAGCACUUAGCCUCUGGUGCACAAUAAGUAUUAAAUAAGUUAUACCUAUUCCUCCUUUUCCUUUUUUAAAAAUAAUAUUACCAAAUGUCCAGCCUAUACACAGUUACAAGACUUAGCUAGUGGGCUAUGUUAGAGCUACUAAAAGAUCUUUGACAAGCUAAAACUAAGAUGCAAUGAAUGAGGUGUAACGAACAAGAGAGUUUUAAGUUCAGAAAUGGUUACAGAAGUAUAAGACAGCUGUGUGGGUGUUUUUUGGUUUUUGGUUUCUGGUUUACAAUCUCGUCAUUCAACAAAGAUGGGAGUUUUAUAGAACUAAAAGCACCAUGUAAGCUACUAAAAACAACAACAAAAAAGGCUCAUCAUUUCUCAGUCUGAAUUGACAAAAAUGCCAAUGCUAAUAAAAAUGAUUACUUUUUAUUUUA